UAGAAAGUUACUUCGGUACAUCGGUGACAGGUGGUGCAUGGUUGUCGUCAGCUCGUGUCGUGAGAUGUUGGGUUAAGUCCCGCAACGAGCGCAACCCCUAUUGUUAGUUGCCAUCAUUCAGUUGGGCACUCUAGCGAGACUGCCGGUAAUAAACCGGAGGAAGGUGGGAUGACGUCAAAUCAUCAUGCCCCUUAUGACCUGGGCUACACACGUGCUACAAUGGUUGGUACAACGAAUUGCGAGUCGGUGACGGCGAGCUAAUCUCUUAAAGCCAAUCUCAGUUCGGAUUGUAGGCUGCAACUCGCCUACAUGAAGUCGGAAUCGCUAGUAAUCGCGGAUCAGCACGCCGCGGUGAAUACGUUCCCGGGCCUU
rnacentral:rRNA from 1 species